GAGUUUGAUCCUGGCUCAGAUUGAACGCUGGCGGCAUGCCUUACACAUGCAAGUCGAACGGCAGCACGGGGGCAACCCUGGUGGCGAGUGGCGAACGGGUGAGUAAUAUAUCGGAACGUACCAUUGAGUGGGGGAUAACGUAGCGAAAGUUACGCUAAUACCGCAUACGAUCUAAGGAUGAAAGCGGGGGAUCUGCAAGGACCUCGCGCUCAUUGAGCGGCCGAUAUCUGAUUAGCUAGUUGGUAGGGUAAAAGCCUACCAAGGCAUCGAUCAGUAGCUGGUCUGAGAGGACGACCAGCCACACUGGGACUGAGACACGGCCCAGACUCCUACGGGAGGCAGCAGUGGGGAAUUUUGGACAAUGGGGGCAACCCUGAUCCAGCAAUGCCGCGUGAGUGAAGAAGGCCUUCGGGUUGUAAAGCUCUUUUGUCAGGGAAGAGACGGUGGUGACUAAUAAUCGCCACUAAUGACGGUACCUGAAGAAUAAGCACCGGCUAACUACGUGCCAGCAGCCGCGGUAAUACGUACGGUGUAAGCGUUAAUCGGAAUUACUGGGCGUAUAUCGUGCGUACGCGGUUAUGUAAGACAGAUGCGACACGCCCUGCCUCUACCUGCGAACUGCAUUUGUGAUUGCCUGGAUAGAGUGUGCAUAGGGGGUAGAAUUCCUCCGUU
rnacentral:rRNA from 1 species